ACGAACGCUGGCGGCAUGCCUAACCCAUGCCAGUCGAACAAGAUCUUCGGGUCUAGUGGCGCACGGGUGCGUAACGCGUGGGAAUCUGCCCUCAGGUUCGGAAUAACCAUUGGAAACGAUGGCUAAUACCGGAUGAUGACGUUAAGUCCAAAGAUUUAUCGCCUGAGGAUGAGCCCGCGUAGGAUUAGCUAGUUGGUGUGGUAAAGGCGCACCAAGGCGACGAUCCUUAGCUGGUCUGAGAGGAUGAUCAGCCACACUGGGACUGAGACACGGCCCAGACUCCUACGGGAGGCAGCAGUGGGGAAUAUUGGACAAUGGGCGAAAGCCUGAUCCAGCAAUGCCGCGUGAGUGAUGAAGGCCUUAGGGUUGUAAAGCUCUUUUACCCGGGAUGAUAAUGACAGUACCGGGAGAAUAAGCUCCGGCUAACUCCGUG
rnacentral:rRNA from 1 species